AUUGAACGCUGGCGGCAGGCUUAACACACGCAAGUCGAGCGGUAACAGAGAGAAGCUUGCUUUUCUGCUGACGAGCGGCGGACGGGUGAGUAAUGCCUAGGAAUCUGCCUAGUAGUGGGGGAUAACUUGCCGAAAGGUAAGGUAAUACCGCAUACGUCCUACGGGAGAAAGGAGGGGACCUUCGGGCCUUUCGCGAUUAGAUGAGCCUAGGUCGGAUUAGUUGGUUGGUGCGGUAAUGGCUCACCAAGACCGCGAUCCGUAACUGGUCUGGACGGAGUAUCAGUCAGACUGGAACUGAGACACGGUCCAGACUCCUACGGGAGGCAGCAGUGGGGAAUAUUGGACGAUGGGGGGAACCCUGAUCCAGCCAUGCCGCGUGUGUGAAGAAGGUCUUAGGAUUGUAAAGCACUUUAAGUUGGGAGGAAGAGCAGUUAACUAAUAUUUGACUGUUUUGACGUUACCGACAGAAUAAGCACCGGCUAACUUCGUGCCAGCAGCCGCAGUAAGAC
rnacentral:rRNA from 1 species